AACUUUCAGCGGUGGAUGUCUAGGUUCCCACAACGAUGAAGAACGCAGCGAAAUGCGAUACGUAAUGCGAAUUGCAAGACCUCGUGAAUCAUUAAGAUUUUGAACGCACAUUGCGCUUUCGGGUUUUCCCGGUAGCAUGCUUGUCUGAGUGUC
rnacentral:rRNA from 1 species